AAGAGUGGUAGAAGUUAACGUUUCAUAUUGGCAUUUUAAGGUGAUCAUGAAUCGAUUGGCCUUUUGCUUAAUGUUGUUAUUUUGAGUUCCGGUUAAUUUACUUCGAAAAUCGGUAUAAGAAUCAGAGUUCUCUGUGUUAGGAGUUCGACGGACAGUGUUUGCAUACCAACAUCGCAGCGUAAAAUGAAGUAUCAUGGUACGGUCGUUUCCGGACAGCGGGUUCGCCAUACGAAGCGGAAGUUGAAUCAUCCGGAACUGUUUUUUCGAUCUUCGUACAAAUCAACCAGUUUGAUUCGGUGCUGACCGUAAAUGAAAAAUUGAAAAGGUACCGAUGAGGAAAUGCGCUUCUCCUAUAUUCCAAUACCGAUGAACAUCCAAGGACAGAUUUUUAUCCAGUUUACCGCCACGAGUCUAUAGGGCUUGAUGAUGGAUCCGGAAGCUAAUUGCAUUAGGAUUGGUUCCGACGGAACCGGAUGAACAAUGACAAUCCGUUAAUGAUU